GUGGGGAAUUUUGGACAAUGGGCGAAAGCCUGAUCCAGCCAUGCCGCGUGCAGGAUGAAGGCCUUCGGGUUGUAAACUGCUUUUGUACGGAACGAAAAGACUCCUUCUAAUAAAGGGGGUCCAUGACGGUACCGUAAGAAUAAGCACCGGCUAACUACGUGCCAGCAGCCGCGGUAAUACGUAGGGUGCAAGCGUUAAUCGGAAUUACUGGGCGUAACGCGUGCGCAGGCGGUUAUAUAAGACAGAUGUGAAAUCCCCGGGCUCAACCUGGGAACUGCAUUUGUGACUGUAUAGCUAGAGUACGGUAGAGGGGGAUGGAAUUCCGCGUGUAGCAGUGAAAUGCGUAGAUAUGCGGAGGAACACCGAUGGCGAAGGCAAUCCCCUGGACCUGUACUGACGCUCAUGCACGAAAGCGUGGGGAGCAAACAGGAUUAGAAACCCUGGUAGUCC
rnacentral:rRNA from 1 species